rnacentral:snRNA from 1 species
GGAUGUGACAAUGAUCUGACUGCAAUUCUGUCACUCCACUGAUUGCCAGGGUUUAUUCAGUUGAUCAGACUAGCUACACAAGUGUCCUUUUCCUCCCACACCCCUCCACAUGUAUCUCUCCCAAAGCUGUGUACUCCAUUGAAGAAACCUUCCCAAAAAAGAAGAGGACCAAUAUUCACUUAGGCAUAUACAGGUAGUUAUACGUCCCUGCUAGAAUCGCCAAACAAGCUUUCAAGAAGGUAAAUGAAUAUAAAUAGCUUUGUUUUAAGUACAAUAACUCAAGGAUUUUUUUAAAGU